rnacentral:lncRNA from 1 species
UUCCAUUAACUCUUUGCAUUUGAAUAAACUAGUUGGAAUUUUCCCCGUAAGCAGGUUCCCACCUAAAGAAAGCCCUUGCAAAUUAGGAAAUCUAUUACACAGAUCUGACGGGAGAUUACCACUGAGAAGAUUAACGGAGAGGUCAAUGAGUUGCAGCGAAGAAGUGUUGACUGGAAUGGACGGUAUCGAAUCAGAGAGUUUGUUGUUGCUUAGAUCAAGUACUUGCAAUGAAGAUAGGUUGAAAAUUGAGGGAGGUAUGGAACCUGAAAUCUGAUUAAAGGAGAGGUCAAUGAGUUGCAGCGAAGAAGUGUUGAGUGGAAUGGAGGGUAUCGAAACAGAAAGUUUGUUGUUACUUAGAUCAAGUACUUGCAAUGAAGAUAGGUUGAAAAUUGAGGGAGGUACGGAACCUGAAAUCUGAUUAUAAUCU